CUGCAACUCGCCUGCAUGAAGUCGGAAUUGCUAGUAAUCGUAGGUCAGCAUACUACGGUGAAUACGUUCCCGGGCCUUGUACACACCGCCCGUCAAACCAUGAGAGUUGGCAACACCCGAAGUCGGUAGUCUAACCGCAAGGAGGACGCCGCCGAAGGUGGGGUUGAUGAUUAGGGUUAAGUCGUAACAAGGUACC
rnacentral:rRNA from 1 species